rnacentral:rRNA from 1 species
UACGAAGGGGGCUAGCGUUGUUCGGAAUCACUGGGCGUAAAGCGCACGUAGGCGGACUUUUAAGUCAGGGGUGAAAGCCUGAGGCUCAACCUCAGAACUGCCCUUGAUACUGGGGGUCUUGAGUAUGGUAGAGGUUGGUGGAACAGCAAGUGUAGAGGUGAAAUUCGUAGAUAUUUGCUAGAACACCAGUGGUGAAGGCGGCCAACUGGACCAUAACUGACGCUGAGGUGCGAAAGCGUGGGGAGCAAACAGG